rnacentral:rRNA from 1 species
AGCAUAUCAAUAAGCGGAGGAAAAGAAACCAACAGGGAUUGCCCUAGUAACGGCGAGUGAAGCGGCAACAGCUCAAAUUUGAAAUCUGGCGUCUUCGGCGUCCGAGUUGUAAUUUGUAGAGGAUGCUUCUGGGCAGCCACCGGUCUAAGUUCCUUGGAACAGGACGUCAUAGAGGGUGAGAAUCCCGUAUGCGACCGGAAAGGCACCCUCCACGUAGCUCCUUCGACGAGUCGAGUUGUUUGGGAAUGCAGCUCUAAAUGGGAGGUAAAUUUCUUCUAAAGCUAAAUACUGGCCAGAGACCGAUAGCGCACAAGUAGAGUGAUCGAAAGAUGAAAAGCACUUUGGAAAGAGAGUUAAAAAGCACGUGAAAUUGUUGAAAGGGGAGCGUUUGCAACCAGACUUGCUCGCGGUGUUCCGCCGGUCUUCUGACCGGUUCACUCGCCGCGUUGCAGGCCAGCAUCGUCUGGGGCCGCCGGAUAAGACCUUGGUAAUGUAGCCCUCCCCUCGGGGAGGGUGUUAUAGACCAUGUUGAUGCGGCGCGUCCCGGGCGAGGUCCGCGCUUCGGCUAGGAUGCUGGCGUAAUGGUUGUAAACGGCCCGUCU